AUGUUUGCAGAAGCCGUCUCCAAAUGCCACGAUGGACAAAAUACAAAAUUCCACAGUUUUAAAUAAUACAAAGUAUGAUUUAAGUGAGGCGAAUCCACAUUUUCAUGAGUCACAUGACUCCAGGUGUACUGUCAGAGAAGACUCCCUCACAGGCCGGACUGGAUCUUUGACUGAAAUGGACAGUUUGUCAGAGCUCUUUUCUACUGAGGACACUGAAUUGUCUGACACCUCUGUUUCACAGAACACAAGAAGAAAAGUCCCUGAUGACCACGGCAUGCCAUACGAGAGUAAGCGAGGAGCAGCAUCCAUCCGGAGCCCAUGUUUUGUGGAACAGGAGCCAACGCCUCUGCAGGUCCAGCUGCAGUCCUCUGAAGAGAUUUGCACAAUUCCUGAAGCCAGCCAGUCAGUCACGGUGAUCAGGAAUCAGGGCAGCCAGAGAACCAUCUCCACUCGCACAGAAACAGAUGGAAGUGAUCUUUGUGCAGCGGUCCUGCUGGCCUGCCUGUUCUGCCGCCCACUGGACUGUCUGCUGGCCACAUUCAGAGCCUGCAAUGGCUGCAUCUGGUCCUUCUCUUCAUUCCUGUGUGGCUGUGAGCCCUCUGCCCUGCAGCCUCUCCAAGGCGUCAUCCAAAGCUUCAGCCUAUGCGGCUGUCCUGGUAUUCGCAGCUUGGUGUGCGCUCCAUGUAACAUCUGCCUCCAGGCCACCGAGUGCCUGGACCUCGCGAUGGAAAUCUCUCAAAUGCUGUACCACUAA
rnacentral:lncRNA from 1 species